ACAGAAAACCCAUAAUUUAUGUUUUAUAUUUACAUUUAUCAGAUACUCUGCCUUUUCAGUUACAGAUAUUUGAGAUAAAUGUGUUUAGUAUAAAUUUGCUUUUAAGUGAAAAUACAAUCUUCAAGUAGUUUCUAAUUCUCAAAGUUACUGUUCAAACUCAUAAGAUGAUAAAUAAUUAUAAUUAUGUCUACAAAAUAUCUAAGGAUUUUAACUAUAUUUUCAUUGAUAUCUCUCAAAGCUCUCCAAAAUUGUUCUGCAACUUGUACGCAUACCCAGGCGAUGCAUGUCUCUUGUUAUGCUUCAGCCUCAAUUUGUGUUAACAAGCAGGGAGAACAAUUUUUUGAAGCCACCCUAACUAAAACUCAUGCAGCAGAGGGGACCACUAUUCAUUAUACCCCCGUUCUCUUUGACCGGGGAGGAGAAGGCAUAUACACCAAGUUACAGUCAGCUGGGUGCCAAGGCACUGUUGGUAAACCCUCCUGCUGGCCCAUUAAGGCCCCUACAGGGGUCUCUGAUGGUGGAGGACCCACUGAUGCUGUCAAGCAUCUUCAGAUAAUCAAACUUUUGAAACCCCAGAUCCCUGAGCUCACAUAUCAUCCCUUAAUGCUGCCUAAAUCCCAGCUCCCAGAUUUAGAUACCAAUACAUUAGAUAUUUUGGAAACUACCUUCUCCUUGCUUAAUAAUUCCAACCCCACCCUUGCUGGUGAUUGCUGGCUCUGCAUGACAACAGGGGCAAUCAUGCCUAUGGCAGUUCCUAUUAAUUCUAUCAUAGACAAUGAUAAUACAUGCCAACCUGGAUUUCCUUUUAAAGUACAGCCUAUAGGCACUUUUACAUCAUGUCUUUUAGGCGCGAUGCAGAAUAAUACCUAUGAUAUUGAUGUUGGAGUUACUUCCUUUGGAAAUUGCUCAACAGUAAAAAAUUAUUCCUCACCCACCCCAUCUCUUUGUCCCCCCAAUGGCACAGUUUUUAUGUGUGGAGGAAACUCAGCCUUCUCCAGGCUUCCAGCGAAUUGGACCGGUGGCUGUGUUCUUGCCUUAUUACUCCCUGAUAUAACUAUUGUCCCAGGAGAUGAACCUCUACCCAUUCCUAGCCUAGACACCUUAGUCAAAGACACAGGCGGGCAAUACAGGCCUUACCACUCCUUGCCAGCCUUGGAAAAACAGCUGCUGUGGG
rnacentral:lncRNA from 1 species